CUUGAACUCACUAUGUAGCCCAGGCUGGCCUGGAACUCAUUGUGAUCUUCCCGCCUCAGCCUCCUACAUGCUGGAAUUACAGGCAUGCGUCACCAUGCCUGGCUGUGAAUCAUACUUUAAUAAAGCUGUCACACCCUGGUCUAAGGAAGCUCUUCUCAGGAUGGCUUCUACUAUGGCCUGAAUGUGUGCCCCAAAUUCAUGCUCUGGAAACUUAACCCUCAGUGCAACAGCAGUGGGAAGAG
rnacentral:lncRNA from 1 species